UACAGAGGUGGCAAGCGUUGUUCGGAAUUACUGGGCGUAAAGGGCGCGUAGGCGGCCUCUUUAGUCAGACGUGAAAUCCCCCGGCUUAACCUGGGAACUGCGUCUGAUACUGGGAGGCUAGAGUUCGGGAGAGGGAUGUAGAAUUCCAGGUGUAGCGGUGAAAUGCGUAGAUAUCUGGAGGAACACCGGUGGCGAAGGCGGCAUCCUGGACCGACACUGACACUGAGGAGCGAAAGCCAGGGGAGCAAACGGG
rnacentral:rRNA from 1 species